UGGCGGACGGGUGAGUAAUGUCUGGGAAACUGCCCGAUGGAGGGGGAUAACUACUGGAAACGGUAGCUAAUACCGCAUAACGUCGCAAGACCAAAGAGGGGGACCUUAGGGCCUCUUGCCAUCGGAUGUGCCCAGAUGGGAUUAGCUAGUAGGUAAGGUAACGGCUUACCUAGGCGACGAUCCCUAGCUGGUCUGAGAGGAUGACCAGCCACACUGGAACUGAGACACGGUCCAG
rnacentral:rRNA from 1 species